GUACACUCCUGCGGGAGGCAGCAGUGGGGAAUUUUGGACAAUGGGCGAAAGCCUGAUCCAGCAAUGCCGCGUGAGUGAAGAAGGCCUUCGGGUUGUAAAGCUCUUUUGUCAGGGAAGAAACGGUGAAAGCUAAUAUCUUUUGCUAAUGACGGUACCUGAAGAAUAAGCACCGGCUAACUACGUGCCAGCAGCCGCGGUAAUACGUAGGGUGCAAGCGUUAAUCGGAAUUACUGGGCGUAAAGCGUGCGCAGGCGGUUUUGUAAGUCUGAUGUGAAAUCCCCGGGCUCAACCUGGGAAUUGCAUUGGAGACUGCAAGGCUAGAAUCUGGCAGAGGGGGGUAGAAUUCCACGUGUAGCAGUGAAAUGCGUAGAUAUGUGGAGGAACACCGAUGGCGAAGGCAGCCCCCUGGGUCAAGAUUGACGCUCAUGCACGAAAGCGUGGGGAGCAAACAGGAUUAGAUACCCUGGUAGUCCCAUGAU
rnacentral:rRNA from 1 species